UUCAAUGAAGUGCCAGCAACAAGAAAAAGGGUUAUUAACAUUGACAAAGCUCAAAUACCAGCCAUGAGGAUAAAAAUAAGAAGAUUCCUAAGGCAAUCACAUGCAGUCACAGUGCAAAGAAGAAGAGAGCAGCAGAGAUAGCAUCACGCAUAUUUACAUCAUGGUUUUGCACAAGAAAUAUAAAGAUGCUAAGCUAGCUAGGCUAAUCUACAAUAGCAGACAAAAACA
rnacentral:lncRNA from 1 species